rnacentral:lncRNA from 1 species
GGUCCCUUAUGACAGCGGUGAUGUGAACAGGCUUCUGAGGCUCACCGCCUCCCUCUCCUCUCCUCCUCCUCUCCUCUCCUCUCCUCUCCUCUCCUCCUCUCUCCCCUCUCCUCUCCUCUCCUCUCCCCUCUCCUCCUCCUCUCCUCUCCUCUCCUCUCCUCUCCUCUCCUCCUCUCUCCCCUCUCCUCUCCUCUCCUCUCCCCUCUCCUCCUCCUCUCCUCUCCUCUCCUCUCCUCUCCUCUCCUCUCCUCUCCCCUCCACUCUCCUCUCCUCUCCUCUCCUCUCCUCUCCUCUCCUCUCCUCUCCUCUCCGCUCCGCUCCUCCCCUCUCCUCUCCUCUCCUCCUCCCCUCUCCUCUCCUCUCUCCUCCUCUUCUCUCUUCUCCUCCUCUCUCCCCUCCCCUGUCCUCUCCUCUCCACUCUCCUCUCCUCCCCUCCCUCUUCUCCCUUCUCCUCUCAUCUCCUCUCCUCUCCUCUUCCUCUCUUCUUUCCUCUUCCUUUCCUUCUCCUCUCCUCCUCUCCUCCUCCUUCUCCUCUCCUCUCCUCCUCUCCUCUUCUCUCCCCUCUCCUCUCCUCUACCCUCUCCUCUCCUCUCCUCCUCCCCUCUCCUCUCUCCUCUCCUCUCCUCUCCUCUCUCCCUCUCCUCCUCCUCUCAUCUCCUCUCCUCCUCUCUCCCCUCCCCUCUCCUCUCCUCUUCUCUCCCCUCUCCUCUCCCCUCUCCUCUCCUCUCCCCUCUCCUCUCCUCCUCCCCUCUCCUCUCCUCUCUCCUCUCCUCUCCUCUCCUCCCCUCUCUCCCCUCUCCUCCUCCUCUCCUCUCCUCUCCUCUCCUCCUCCUCUCUCCCCUCCCCUGUCCUCUCAUCUCCACUCUCCUCUCCUCCCCUCCCCUCUUCUCCCUUCUCCUCUCCUCUCCUCUUCCUUUCUUCUUUCCUCCUCCUUUCCUUCUCCUCUCCUCCUCCUCUCCUCUCCUCUCCCCUCUCCUCUCCUCUCCUCUCCUCCCCUCUCCUCCUCCUCUCCUCCUCCUCUCUCCUCUCCUCUCCUCUCCUCCUCCUCCUCUCCCCUUGGCUGGAGUGGGUCCACGAGACCUGAAGCUCACCAGAGUCU